rnacentral:rRNA from 1 species
AUUGAACGCUGGCGGCAGGCCUAACACAUGCAAGUCGAGCGGAAACGAGUUAUCUGAACCUUCGGGGGACGAUAACGGCGUCGAGCGGCGGACGGGUGAGUAAUGCCUAGGAAAUUGCCCUGAUGUGGGGGAAUAACCAUUGGAAACGAUGGCUAAUACCGCAUGAUGCCUACGGGCCAAAGAGGGGGACCUUCGGGCCUCUCGCGUCAGGAUAUGCCUAGGUGGGAUUAGCUAGUUGGUGAGGUAAGGGCUCACCAAGGCGACGAUCCCUAGCUGGUCUGAGAGGAUGAUCAGCCACACUGGAACUGAGACACGGUCCAGACUCCUACGGGAGGCAGCAGUGGGGAAUAUUGCACAAUGGGCGCAAGCCUGAUGCAGCCAUGCCGCGUGUAUGAAGAAGGCCUUCGGGUUGUAAAGUACUUUCAGUCGUGAGGAAGGUGGUGUAGUUAAUAGCUGCAUUAUUUGACGUUAGCGACAGAAGAAGCACCGGCUAACUCCGUGCCAGCAGCCGCGGUAAUACGGAGGGUGCGAGCGUUAAUCGGAAUUACUGGGCGUAAAGCGCAUGCAGGUGGUUUGUUAAGUCAGAUGUGAAAGCCCGGGGCUCAACCUCGGAAUAGCAUUUGAAACUGGCAGACUAGAGUACUGUAGAGGGGGGUAGAAUUUCAGGUGUAGCGGUGAAAUGCGUAGAGAUCUGAAGGAAUACCGGUGGCGAAGGCGGCCCCCUGGACAGAUACUGACACUCAGAUGCGAAAGCGUGGGGAGCAAACAGGAUUAGAUACCCUGGUAGUCCACGCCGUAAACGAUGUCUACUUGGAGGUUGUGGCCUUGAGCCGUGGCUUUCGGAGCUAACGCGUUAAGUAGACCGCCUGGGGAGUACGGUCGCAAGAUUAAAACUCAAAUGAAUUGACGGGGGCCCGCACAAGCGGUGGAGCAUGUGGUUUAAUUCGAUGCAACGCGAAGAACCUUACCUACUCUUGACAUCCAGAGAACUUUCCAGAGAUGGAUUGGUGCCUUCGGGAACUCUGAGACAGGUGCUGCAUGGCUGUCGUCAGCUCGUGUUGUGAAAUGUUGGGUUAAGUCCCGCAACGAGCGCAACCCUUAUCCUUGUUUGCCAGCGAGUAAUGUCGGGAACUCCAGGGAGACUGCCGGUGAUAAACCGGAGGAAGGUGGGGACGACGUCAAGUCAUCAUGGCCCUUACGAGUAGGGCUACACACGUGCUACAAUGGCGCAUACAGAGGGCGGCCAACUUGCGAAAGUGAGCGAAUCCCAAAAAGUGCGUCGUAGUCCGGAUUGGAGUCUGCAACUCGACUCCAUGAAGUCGGAAUCGCUAGUAAUCGUGGAUCAGAAUGCCACGGUGAAUACGUUCCCGGGCCU